UAGCAUGCCUUUAUCCUCAUAGGUUCUCUCAGAUCACUCAUUAUCUUUUGUAUAUCUCACUAUGGCUGUUUUAAUUUGCAAAAAUUCUCAAGCAUACUUACCUUGCAUUUAUUGCCUGAUCAAAACGGGAUCCGGGGAGAGGAAUGCCAUACUCUUAGAUCAAAGACUUUGGAAAUUAAAAACUUGUCAACUCUUUACUGGCAUAUUGCUUAUUACAGGGUCCAUGGGCUAUCAUUUUCUUCUUUCUUUCUCUUUUUUUUCAGGUGGAUACCGAGGUAACCCUAAUUCUACUACCAGACACUUGUCCAUUUUUUUCUGCGAGGUUGUCGAACACUUGCUCUUUUUUAUUUCCUCGAAAUAUAUUUUUACAUAGUCCAUGCCUCUAACGCAAUAAUACUUCGGAAGAGUGAAUCUUUCUAAAUAAAUGUCUUGAUCUUAGGAGCAUGAUAAAUCUCUCAACAAAGGUCUAACUCAUUUUAAACAAACUCAAUACAUAGUAGAUAGCUUUUAUAAUUAUCAAUAUUUUCAGGUUUAGCAGGCAUAUAAUACACUGAGGAUGGUAGCUA
rnacentral:lncRNA from 1 species